AUGGUGCGUGACCUCAUCAUUUCCGUGUCAAAUGAGGAGAAUUUCUUAACAACGGUAGGUGGUCAGCAACCAUUGCAUCUACCAAGUAAGAUCCGCCGAUUGUCCAUACAGACCACCAUUGAAGAAGUUGCUAAUAAGCUGCUAACAAAAAGCUUGUCCCAUGUGAGGUCACUUACUGUGUCUAGUCCAGCUUUCAGUUUUUUACCAGCACUCUUGAGCUUUCCGGUCAUGCGUGUAUUGGAUUUAGCUUAUUGUAGGCAAGUCGUCAAUAAUCAUUGGAAGGAUAUAUACAAUUUGUUUCACUUGAGAUAUCUGAGUUUAAACUGCACAUCUAUCACUAGAAUCCCAAAACAAAUAGGGAAACUACAAUUUCUGCAAGUGCUGGACAUAGGGUCCACCAGAAUAGAAGAAGAGCUGCCGUCAAUGAAAACAAUAGGAGAGCAGGACCUUAAAGUCCUUGGGAGCAUACCAUCUCUAAGUGAACUGCACAUUCAAGUGAAUGAACCUACACAUGGCAGAGACAAAUGA
rnacentral:rRNA from 1 species